AUUGAACGCUGGCGGCAUGCUUUACACAUGCAAGUCGAACGGUAACAGGCCGCAAGGUGCUGACGAGUGGCGAACGGGUGAGUAAUGCAUCGGGACGUGCCCAGUCGUGGGGGAUAACGCAGCGAAAGUUGCGCUAAUACCGCAUACGAUCUAUGGAUGAAAGCGGGGGACCGUAAGGCCUCGCGCGAUUGGAGCGGCCGGUGUCAGAUUAGGUAGUUGGUGGGGUAAAGGCUCACCAAGCCGACGAUAUGGUGCUGGUCUGAGAGGACGACCAGCCACCCGGGGACUGAGGCACGGCCCGGACUCCUACGGGAGGCAGCAGUGGGGAAUUUUGGACAAUGGGCGCAAGCCUGAUCCAGCAAUGCCGCGUGCAGGAAGAAGGCCUUCGGGUUGUAAACUGCUUUUGUACGGAACGAAACGGUCCUGGUUAAUACCCGGGGCUAAUGACGGUACCGUAAGAAUAAGCACCGGCUAACUACGUGCCAGCCGCCGCAGUAACAC
rnacentral:rRNA from 1 species